GUUUACCUGUUUCACGAGCUGCUUCUGGAAUUUUUUUUUGUUUGGUGAAUUCGCAGUGGCUUCUUUCCCCUUGGAGCGAACUGUUUGUCUGAGGAUGUCAAGGACGAUGAAUAUGUUGACGGCAGUCAGUUUGUUUCAUUAAACUAAGUGGUUGGGCGUUUUGGAGGUCUGAUGAUCCUUUUGCUCUCUUUGUUUGGUUGAGAUGAUGAACUUAUCUUUUAUCUUUGGGAGUUGAUUAUCAUCUAGUCCUAAUCCUCUCACAGGUUGGACUCUUGCCAGACUUGACAAGUGGUGAUUUGCAUCUAGUGGAUGAUUGUCUGAAAUUGGAUAAGCUCUAUCGUUUCUCGAGGCAGUUAUCGGUUUGAAUGAAAUUUGUUCUCCAGUCCCAUAGUUUUCCUAUUGAUAUGAAAAUCGAUUCUUAUUCCUUUGGAGGUCAGUGAUUGGUCGAUGUGUGUGUGAUCUGUGAUGGUUCUUCCUUUGCAAGGUGUACGCUCCAAUCCAGAUCCGCUUCGUCUUACUUUUGUUGAAGUUCGAAAGCUGAUGUCUCCUUCCUAGAAGUUGUCCCUCCCUCGUGUCCUCAUCCUUCAUCUUGUAUCUAUGAUUGUGCAUGCGUUCCUCUCUCAGUUGACAGCCUCUGUGAAGAAUUCAGAGGAGACAUCAUUCUUGAAACACGCUCUUGAUCCUUUCUUUUAUGUUUUUUUUUUCUUGAUUGAUUGUUAAAUCGUUCUGAUUAUCUUUAUGCUCUACUAUUUUCUGAAGGUCUUUCCUCGCCUCUCCUGGACUCUUUGGGCAUCGUCAGGGUUUGCACUCAUUUGAUUGUUGAUUGAUUUAUCAUUGAUUGAUCUUUCUAAGUUUAAUUGUAUUAUAAGCUGAUUCAGGUAUACAUUAUUCUGUUAAUUGGCAGUGGCUUCUUUCCUCUUGAUCAUUUUGUCUGAGGAUGUUGUCUGAGGACAAUAAAUUCAAUGCAACUGGUCAGUUGAUUAGAUGGAAUAUGACAUUUGGGCAGCUUGGAGGGUUAAUGAUCUAUCUUGCACUGUUUGGUCAAGUUGAUGAUCUAGAAGUCUGUUUUCAGGACAAACAGAUGGACUGAAAUUUUCACAACCUUCUAGGCUUCUUCAACAGGUUGAAAGUUUUACUGGAUUUGACAGCUGGUGAUCUGUUACGUUUUCUGUGGGGCUGUGUUGACAAUUGUUUGAAGUUGGAUGAGCUUGUGCUUCUCGGAUCUUAGGCAAUCAGAGUGUGGUCGGGGCAGUACUUUACCGGGACAUGUUCAACAUGGAGUGUCUGGGAUCAGUGAUGUUCUUUCUUGCUGCAUAAGCAUCAAUUCCUAAUUUGUCAUCCACUUAUGUUAUCAUUGAGUUAAGAUGGAAUGGUCAGAUUUUCUCUUUCCUUCGCAGCAAUAUUUAUGAGUCUGGAAAGCUUGAGGUCCUCUUAAGUUCUGGCUUGUUUCUCUUCCUUCUAGAAUGCAUGCUGUAAUCACUAAAUCAAUGGAUGGAUGUGCAAGAGCUAGCUUGACUAUGCUUUGAGGCUUUGAAGUUCGAAGCAAGAUCUCUGGUUGACAUUGGAUGGCCUCUCUGUUAGACAAUACUUGCGAGAAGAGAGUACUAAGUCUCCUUACUUGCAAUAAGAUAUCCGUAUGGCUUUGCUUAGCCUAUAUUUUCCACUGAUGCAAUACUUUAUUCUGGUGCAGUAACAUUGUUGGGGACAUUCUAUAGAUGAGGUGUUCUGUAGGUGAGAUGGGUUGUUUGUAGUUUGUAGUGCCACCUUGAACAGUAUGUGCGAGAGCUAGCUUGACUAUGCUUUGAAGGUUUGAAGUUCGAUGUUAGAUCUCUGGUUGUCAUUGGAUGGCCUCUGUUGGACAAUACUUUGCAAGAAGAGAGUACUAAGUCUCCUUAUUUGCAAUAAGAUAUCCGCAUGGGUUUGCUUAGCCUAUAUUUUCCACUGAUGUAAUACUUUCUUUGGUGCAGUAACAUUGUUGGGACAAUGUUCUGUAGGUGAGAUGGGUUAUUUUUAGUUUGUAGUGCCUUGAGGGCCUAACUUAUGUAUAUUUUAGAUUCUUGUCAGGGGACUAUGAAGACUUUUCCGCCAGGACCUAAGAUGUAAUUAUUGCAAACUGUUAGCAUCUCAUUCUGAAAAGAUGAACUGGUGCUGUGCUUUUGCCUUUUACCUUCUUUAUAACAUACACCAUGUAGGUUCCUUUCAUAACUAGAAGGUGUGUUUCUUCUCGUGCUUCAUUAUUGGCAUAAGUGAUCAGGCCUCACUUGGGGAUGUUGACAGGGCAGCCAUCUGGACAUAACUUCCCUUGGCAUUUCUGAUCUGUGCUCUCCUUUCUGCUGAUUCUCUUGUUUCUUAUCCAUCACAAAGCUGUGUUUUUAAGUGUGUGCUAUCAGCAGACAUGGCUGGUUAGGCUGGGAGGAUCAGACACUGGGUGCUUGGUUGGGUUGUUUGUCAAAUCUGUGGUUAUUUUUAGAUGGGUGAAACUGGAGGGAGACGACAAUCCUGCAGUGAAUAAGGUUUGAUUUGAUGUUUUAACAUAUCUGGUGAGCAUGGAGUUCAGUCUACUUCCCCUUCUGAUCUUUUAUGAUACACUAAUGUACGAUAGGUGAACUUCUACUUUGUACAUACAAAGGAUAGCUGUUGAAGCUCUUUAGGGCUAUGAAUCUAUAGAUCUCCAAUUGCAGCGAGAUCCUUUGCCAAUGA